AUGGAAAUGAGCAGAAUUUAUCUGGUGUCAUCAGUGAUGAAGGUACCUGGUACGUUACCUUCCACUGUGCACAGUGAACUGCUGGAUGCUUCAAUGGAAAAGGAGCCUGACUCCUCAUUUAGCACCAGCUAUAGGAAUGUCCAGGAUUCACACUUUCAUCUGGAUGAACACAUGGACUAUCUAACCUGUCUUUUAAAAUGGUGAGUGACAGCAAAUAUAUCACAGUCCUUGGAUAACUGCCAUUGCUGAUAACAACACAGGUUUUAUUUUGGUCCGAGCUGUUCUAGCUUUAACGUCAGCCCUCUGCAUCUGUUCCCUCCUACUUGGUAUUUGCCUGUAGCACACUGACAGCAUCUACAGAUGUGAGCUCAUAUUUGCAAGUAUGAGACUCCUACCCAUUUCCUCUAGCUUAAUGCUUCCAUACUCUGUCUGAAAAAUGUUGUCAUGAACCCCUUUCACUUUUAUUCAAGCAAUCCUAUUCUCAAACAGGUGUAAAGCACCAACACCUUUUUCUAUGCUGAAAUGGUCUGUAAAGUCAAGGGGAGCCCAAUUCUAAGCAAACCUCCAACUACAUGAUCACAAUUGAGGUGACUACCAGUGGUGUGUCCUCACUAUCAGAAAGCUGAGGAGAUCAGCAUCCAGUAUAGGGAAUUUUCUGAGGUGCAACCAACAGAGAGAAGCAUCUCAAAAGCAUCUGGCAGGGGCUUCCAGCUUCUGCUGAGGCAACUGCUGUGCAGGCAGUGGGAUUUGAGAGCCUUCGCACCCCACCCCCCCAAGAAGACGACUUUUUCAUGUGCUGUAGGAGUGCAAACCAAGCUGCCCUGAGCACCAAAAUGUCUUGCUGUCUGUGAUAUAGUAUACUGAUGCUAAAAUUGCACAUAAUUUAAUAUGGCAGACAGCUUGUGAUUCACAGCUGAACAGACCUACAAAGAAUCAUAUUAUUACGCACAGAGGAAACCAUGUAUGAUAUGAAUGUGAUCUGACACAACUGACAAAACCAGACAGUAUGUAUCAAGCUAAUCAUGCAGACAACAAAUAUGGGCAGCUUUCAGAGAACAGGUUUUUGAUGUUUAGUUAUUUUCCACAAUAAGACAUAAAAGCCUUUUUUUUCUGUUGUUUUGACCUUUUGCCCCUUCACUGAAAGUGAUGGAAAAAUCUUUGAUUUCAUGGGUUGUUGGAUCAGGCCCAGGGACCACAGUAGUGUAGCAAUUUAAGUCUGAAGGGCACCAUCAGAGUCGUGCAGAGGCAGAGGGUUAGGACAGUUGAAGAGAUUCAGAACAGAGCUGAGAUUCAUAGGGAGAAUCACCAAUGUGAAGCUCGCCAGGACCUUCUCCCACUGAGUAUACCUCUGUUUAGCAAGAUCAAUCACUCACUUCCACAUCAACCAAAUUUUUCCAAGAUUAGGAAGAUAGUAAUAAUAAAUAAUUAGCAUUUACAUCA
rnacentral:lncRNA from 1 species